ACACCUCCAAGGCUGUGUAAGGGCUAUUUGACCAUGAAGGAGAGUCAUGGGGUGCUGCGUCAGAUGGCCUGGCAUCCACAGUCACUGGACCUGAACCCAAUCAAGAUGGUUUGGGGUGAGCUGGACCGCAGAGUGAAGGCAAAAGGGCCAACAAGUGCUAAGCAUCUCUGCGAACUCCUUCAAGACUGUUG